UACGUAGGUGGCAAGCGUUGUCCGGAUUUAUUGGGUUUAAAGGGUGCGUAGGCGGUGACUUAAGUCAGUGGUGAAAUACUUCAGCUCAACUGGAGAGGUGCCAUUGAUACUGGGUUACUUGAGUACUGAUGAGGUAGGCGGAAUGGACGGUGUAGCGGUGAAAUGCUUAGAUAUCGUCCAGAACACCGAUAGCGAAGGCAGCUUACUAAAGAGUAACUGACGCUGAGGCACGAAAGUGUGGGGAUCAAACAGGAUUAGAAACCCCCGUAGUCC
rnacentral:rRNA from 1 species